AUGAUCCGUGUGACCACGAGGAAACCAUUAAGUAUUACAUGGGCACAGUAUCCUUGGAAGAGGAUGAAAUUUUGCCUGGUCAGGCAGCCCAAGGCGAAGGAUGUUUGGUUCCUUCCCUGGCCUGGAGAGUUAUCUAGCUUUGAAAAUCAGCCCGCACAUCCAUCAAGAACUAUUGUUGUAGUGAACGUCCCAGCUCCCAAGCAGCUAUUGGUGGGCACCAGGCGACAAUAUCACUCCGGAGGCCUCCCCUGCCGCCAAACCACAGGCCACCACAGCCGGCCAUCUCCUCCGCCGCCGCCGAAGGAGGCCGUCGGUGCUGACGACGGCGGCGGGAUCCACCUCUUCGGCUCUCAUCUUCCUUCACCACCAAGGUUUUACCCUCAGAUCCGAUCCACGAUCUGGAGGAUCCUGUUCGUGGAUGCAAGGGCAACCCCCGGCGGUGGCGGCCUCGUCUGGAUCCAUCCGGCUCCGCUGCAUCUGGGCCAUGGCAGGCAAUGCGAGGCGCGCCGACGGCUGGCAGGAAUCCUGCUGGACAGCGGCCAGGCCUUCUCUCACCGGCACACGCGGCUCAAGCGAGGGCCCUUCCGGCGGUGGGCUGGGUCGAGGUGGACCUCCCUUCCAUGGUGGUCGCUUGCCCCGAUCUGGUUCCCCCGGAUCUUGACCCUAACAAUCUUCUUCUGCCAAGUCAUCGCUCUGCCGGAUAUUGAUCUCUUGGAUCUGGCUGCUGACGAGUUCCGGUCAUCCCUAUCGAAGAUCCAUAUGGAUUGGCGUGUAUUGGAUGCGACGAAGAUUGUGUGCCAGGUGGUGACUUGUAACAGCGGCCUCGGCAAGCGGGGGCGGCAGCAAUGGAGGACUGCAUUUUUGAUGGUGCUCCUCGAGUACGGAGUCUUGAUCCCCGGGGUGAAAACCCAAGUAAAUAUUCGAAAAAUAAUAACAUUCAAAGGAAAGAGAACUUGGAUCGUCAAGUUACAUGGGCGAUGUCAUGGAGAGCACACGGGGACAUCAGGUUGCAGAAGCACUGGUGGGAAGAUCUUCGAGGAAGCAGACAAUGAUGGAUACAAGAAGAAGGCAUCACGUCAAGAGUGCAGGGAGUCAAAAGGAACUGCCAUCGGCAUGCUGAAGCUACCGGCGGCGGCGGAGGGGAGAGCGGGAAGGAGGAGGGGGCCGGCGGCGGAGGGUUGGGUCCCCUCGGUCGCCCGCGCGGGGAGGGGGGGGGGGACGCAGGGGGACAGGGAGGAGGAACUUGAAAGAACAGAUCCAAAGCGAAUGUUCAUCAAAGAUUUUGUCAAAGUUCUCAAGGCUCGCUACUAUCAUGAUGGACGCCUCGAGGAUACAUUGUUCUCGGGGAACGCCUGCCCCACAUGGCAGGCUAUUCAGCACGGCCUGGAGCUCUUGAAGAAGGGCAUCAUCUGGCGUGUCGGGGAUGGCCGGGACAUCCGCAUCUGGCGCGACCGCUGGCUUUCUAGGGAGCCCUCGUGCCAGCCCAUCACGCAGCAAGGCACCUGUCGCCUAAGGAGGGUGGCCGAGCUCCUGGAUGGUGGUGGGUCCUGGCGCACUGACCUCCUCCGCCGCCACUUCCUCCCAGCGGACAUCGACGUCAUCACCAGCAUCCGCACCUCGCCGCGCGUCACCGACGACAUCAUCACCGUUCAGUCUACCUAUCACCUUGCCAUGGACAAGCACGAGCGUCCAUCGGCUACCGCCACGAGCAGGGCACCGGAUGCCUCACGGCGCCUCGAGCUUACUGACGUCUGUUCCCUCUAUGGUGUGGAACGUGAGGACGGAUUCCACGUGCUUUGCAGGUGCCCAUUGGCUAGAGAAUUAUGGAGGGUCAUGGCCCUGGACUGGAACAUUCCCAAGGUGGAGUCUAUCCGCAACACAGGGCCAGAGUGGUUAUUCACGCUGUUGGAACCCCUGGAUGAAACGGCGAGGCUGGUCGUGAUCAUGAUCUUGUGGAGAAUCUGGCAUGUGCGUAACGAGAUCACACAUGACAAACCGCCACCCCCCGCUGAAGCGUCCCGACGCUUCUUACAUGGCUACAUCACUUCACUCUUGUGCAUACAGCAGUACCCAGGUGCGGCCGGAGGAGGGAUGGUCCUAUGGGAUGAUAGAGGUGAUAUCAUCUAUAGCGCAUGCAGGAAGCUUCGUACAUGUGAUAAUGCGCUAGAGGCUGAGCUCUUAGCUUGUAGAGAGGGCCUGGAUCUGGCCUUACACCGGACCACAUUGCCUAUCAUCAUUGAGAUGGAUAGUGCACAGGCAGUGUCGAUGCUCAGAGCACCCACGACAGACAGGUCGCAACAUCGUACACUCGUAGAGGAAAUAAACAGAUUAGUUGAGCUAGAUUCCAGGGAGAUUUUGUUCACCCAUUGUAGCCGCUGGCAGAACAAUGUUAGCCAUGAGCUGGCCGCGUAUGGCCGUAGUACCCUACAUACGGCAGUCUGGUUUACUGCUGGGCCAGACUUUGUUAUACGAGAUUUUUUGAGACGAGAGGAAUUAGGGUUGCACGUCCGUGCGCCGCCGCCGGUCCCAAGAUUGACUGGAUUUUCUGCUGCCCUGCUCGUACUGCAGCAGAAGGGGAGCCUUGGCGCAGUGGGAAAGGCUGCGUACUAUAGACCCAAAGUGGUCGGACCCUUCCCUGUACCCUGCGCAAGCGGGAGCUACAUGCAUCAGGUUGCCCUGCUCGUACUGCAGCAGUACACCGAGACCGACACGAACUACCAUUGCGUCGCCGUCAAAUCAAGUGCACGCUUCAAGUCGCCGAGACCAAGGCGAUCAUUGUUGCUCCACAUUUGUCUACUCAUGGCUUCCAUGAAGUACGAUCUUCCGCCGCUGGACCGUGACACAAGGUUUACCUUAUGGCAAGUCAAGAUGCGGGCGUUGUUGGCACAGACCGACUAUGAUGAAGCAUUGGAUAGUUUUGGGAAGAACCGAAUUGAGGACUGGACUGAUGAGGAGAAAAAAAUUGAUCAUAAGGCUUUGUCAAAAAUUCAACUCCAUUUGCAUAAUAAUAUUUUGCACGAAGUUUUGAGCGAGAAAACUGCCACCGCUCUAUGGUUAAAGCUGGAAGGGAUUUGCAUGACAAAAGAUCUCACCAGCAAGAUGCAUCUGAAGCAAAAAUUAUUCCUGCACAGGUUACCCGAGGGAGUUUAUGAAGCUUUGAACUCUAAGGAGAAGAUGAAAUUAAUGGUGCCUCAUGAUGGUUCGAGUUCAUCCCAAGCCGAGGGAUUAUCUGUUCGUGGCAGGACAAAGGAGAAGAACUCACACAAUGGAAACAGAGGCAAAAGUAAGAACGGCCACAGGGGCCGGUCGCAAUCUAGAGACAAGAAAUAUUGCAGGUAUUGCAAGAGAGACGGGCAUGACAUCUCAGAGUGUUUCAAGUUUCAGAACAAGGAAAAGAGAAAAGGUAACAAACAAGGUGACAAUUCUGCUAACGUUGCUCGUGAUGAUAGUUCCGAUGAUGCUCUUGUCGUUAUUGCUGGAUGUGCUGAGAUCAAUGAUGAGUGGAAAACUCCAAUUGAGGUAUGGUCUGGUUCACCUGCUGAUUAUUCACAGUUGAGAGUUUUUGGUUGCACUGCUUAUGCUCAUGUUGAUAAUGGAAAGUUGGAGCCUAGGGCUGUUAAGUGCAUCUUUCUUGGUUAUAAGUCUGGUGUUAAAGGUUUUAAAUUAUGGAAUCCUGAAACCCAGAAGGUUGUUAUUAGCAGAAAUGUUAUCUUUAAUGAAUCUGCUAUGUUACAUGAUGUUUCAUCUACUAAUGUUCCCGUUGAGAGUGAACAACAGCCUAUUGUUCAGGAGCCUACUGUUCGGGUGGAGCAUGUUAUUGAUUCAGGUGAUACAUCUGGUAAUGAAAUUGUUGAUGCACAUGAUGAACCCGUCGUUAAUGAUGAUCAUGUCACUCCCACUCCAAAUCAGCCUAUUGUUCCACCCAGUUGGAAUCUUGCACGUGACAGAGUUAGAGGGGGUAGUAAUAAACCUGACAGGUUAAUUGAAGAGUGCAAUAUUGUUUCUUUUGCUUUAUCUGUUGCAGAAGAAAUUGAAGGUAAUGCUGAGCCUUCUUCAUAUUCCGAGGCUAUUAUUUCUGGCGAUAGUAAUAAGUGA
rnacentral:rRNA from 1 species